GACGAACGCUGGCGGCGUGCUUAACACAUGCAAGUCGAACGGAAAGGCCAGUGCUUGCACUGGUGCUCGAGUGGCGAACGGGUGAGUAACACGUGGGUGAUCUGCCUUGCACUCUGGGAUAAGCUUGGGAAACUGGGUCUAAUACCGGAUAGGAACCGUCUUUAGUGUGGUGGUUGGAAAGUUUUUUCGGUGCAAGAUGAGCUCGCGGCCUAUCAGCUUGUUGGUGGGGUAAUGGCCUACCAAGGCGUCGACGGGUAGCCGGCCUGAGAGGGUGUACGGCCACAUUGGGACUGAGAUACGGCCCAGACUCCUACGGGAGGCAGCAGUGGGGAAUAUUGCACAAUGGGCGGAAGCCUGAUGCAGCGACGCCGCGUGGGGGAUGACGGCCUUCGGGUUGUAAACUCCUUUCUACAGGGACGAAGCGUUAUGUGACGGUACCUGUAUAAGAAGCACCGGCUAACUACGUG
rnacentral:rRNA from 1 species